rnacentral:rRNA from 1 species
UACGUAGGGUGCGAGCGUUGUCCGGAAUUAUUGGGCGUAAAGAGCUCGUAGGCGGCCUGUCGCGUCGGAUGUGAAAACUCGGGGCUUAACCCCGAGCCUGCAUUCGAUACGGGCAGGCUAGAGUUCGGCAGGGGAGACUGGAAUUCCUGGUGUAGCGGUGAAAUGCGCAGAUAUCAGGAGGAACACCGGUGGCGAAGGCGGGUCUCUGGGCAGUAACUGACGCUGAGGAGCGAAAGCGUGGGGAGCGAACAGG